rnacentral:misc_RNA from 1 species
GUGAAUUAUCGAAUUUUUGAACGCAAAUUGCACUCUCUUCGGAGAGUAUGCCUGUUUGAGGGUCAGCCUAAAAAAAAAAUCGACAUAGUCGCUGUUUCGCGGUGACAUUUGUCGGAAAUUGGGUCAUCUUAAACCUUUGGGUUUUAAGUGGUUUAAAAUUUUUUUUUGGAUUCCACGAAAGUUUCUAAGAUUUAUUUCUUAUAAUUUUAAGGUAUCGAACUUUAUUAGACGUGGCCGUUGCAUCGGAUCUGGUCCAUAAAUAUUUCGUAAACUGACCUC